GAUGAACGCUGGCGGUAUGCUUAACACAUGCAAGUCGAACGAGCUUUUCGGAGCGAGUGGCGGACGGGUGAGUAACGCGUAAGGAUCUGCCCUAGAGAGGGGGAUAACAGUUGGAAACGGCUGCUAAUACCCCAUAAGCCGAGAGGUGAAAGAUUUAUUGCUCUGGGAUGAUCUUGCGUCAGAUUAGCUAGUUGGUGGGGUAGAGGCCUACCAAGGCGACGAUCUGUAGCUGUUCUGAGAGGGAGAGCAGCCACACUGGGACUGAGACACGGCCCAGACUCCUACGGGAGGCAGCAGUGGGGAAUUUUCCGCAAUGGGCGAAAGCCUGACGGAGCAAUACCGCGUGAACGAAGAAGGCUUUAGGGUCGUAAAGUUCUUUUAUCGGGGAAGAAGAAGUGACGGUACCCGAUGAAUCAGCAUCGGCUAACUCCGUGCCAGCAGCCGCG
rnacentral:rRNA from 1 species